ensembl:lncRNA
GAGCAGUGGCCCCGGGUCUGAGCGCCGGUAGAGAAGAGGCGCGUUGGGAAGUUGAUUGGAUGCGCGGAGAACAAAUGGUGGGCGUGCAGAAGCAGGAGAGUUCUGUAGUCGUGGAGCAGGUUGGAGAAUUUUCUGGGUGCAGAGAAGCUCACGCAGAGGCCGGGCCCGAGGUGCACGCAGCCGCCGCCUGAUCCACGCAGACGCUCGAGGACUCACAGUGUGUGAGUGACCGCGUCUCAUAGAAGAGAAAACAUGUAGUUACCGAUCCAGACGAGUGUUUGUGCCUCCGAAAGCACCCACAGCAUCCCCGUCAAGAAAGGCUCUGCUUAGUGCACAGGCGCUCCGCUGCCCCAGGAGCCGUGGGAAGAUGGAGACACCGAGACGCAGAGAGACCAAGUGACCCCCCCUCGGUCACAGGCUGGGGGGACCCAGAUCAGGACUUAGAGAGAACCCCGACUCUGGGCCUGCGUCCUGCCACGGAGUCACGCUGCCUCCGUUCCUAGGAGAGAAGGCUUCCUGCAAGGUAACCCCCACCCCUGGGCGUGUGUCCUCGGCGGGCACAGCCCCGUGUGCACAGGGAGGCUGUGCGUGUGCAUGUGCGUGUGAGUGUGCGUGCGUGUGUGUACCCGCAUGUGAGCACCAAGGGCUGACGGUCGGAUGUCAGUCCAGAUGUGGUCCGCAAACCGCGUCCUGUGAUCACAGCUGGCUCCACCCUCCCUGCCCCAGGCCUCCGUGGCCGCACUGCUCAGGUGUCUCCAUGUCCCCUUGGAGGCCCUCAUCCCUGUCAUCUCCUGGUGUCCGCCACCUCCCCUCUCUGGUGGCAUCGCGACCUAUCCUGGGGCUCAUACAAGAGACGCGCCACCCUGGAGCCCUCAGGCCUGUGCUCAUGGGUCUGGGCAGUGCCCCUCUCACGGCCCGCCCACUGCAGUCUGGGCACUCUGGCUGCUGUCCUGCCUCCUCUGGAGCGUCACUCAGAGACCCACUCUUGGUCUCCUGAGACCAAGUCCAGCAAUCUCGGGGUCAGAGGGGUCUCCCAGCCCCCACCCCAUCACCAGAUGGAUGAACCUUCCCACACUGACCCGCAGCCACCUGACCACGGCCCAGUGGGGUCAGUGUCACACCGCAGGGCUGUGUUCAGCCCCCUCGUACGCGGGGUCCUAGCUCAGCGUUAACCCCUGCCCCCUUCUAGAACCUCCUCCCCACUCGCUUGCAGCUACGAGCUUCUUCUGUAGCUUCUCUUCUUCUGUGGGCACCUACAUAUCCGUUCCCAGACAGUCCGUCUCCGCGCCAGUCAGGACGCCAUGUCCCUCCUUCCACGGGCACCGCACUUCACCGUUUACAAAGCCCCGGGCCGGCCGUGCACGUGCACACCCAUCCGACCCGCACUGAGCUCGCGGGCCGCCGUGUGCGCUGUGCGGGGCAGAGCUGGGGUCCGAGGGUAAGAGGCACACUCAGUGGGGAAACCAAGUCCCCGCCCUUUUCUCUCAGAUGCCCGUGUUUCCUAUGUAAUGACUCGUGAAAGGUUUUCGCUUCCGAAACUCUUCCGUGGGGCAGUGUGCUUGGUCUCCCCGAGCACAGACGGACUCCACGGAUUACACGUCCUCACUUGCAGACACCGCCGUCUCUAAUUUUUCUGUUCUGUAUUUCUUUAGUAGUAUUCCAGUCCUUAAAAAAAAAAAAAAAAAAA